rnacentral:lncRNA from 1 species
GAAGUUUUUGUUAGGUUUUCAUGAAACCCUAGAAGUGGUUACUAAUGGCAUUCCCUUGUUAGGUUUUGAUGCAGGCUCAGGCUUGGAAGAAACCUGGUGGUUCUAACAAAUUCAAGGGCAAAAGAGACAAGAAUCAGAGCAAGAAGUCUUGGUAAAAUCCUCAAAAGCAUAUGGUCGAUGAUAAGGCUUAUGAAUCCUCGAAAAGAGGAGAAGGAAACUCCUAUUA